CCUACGGGUGGCUGCAGUGAGGAAUAUUGGUCAAUGGGCGGAAGCCUGAACCAGCCAAGCCGCGUGCAGGAUGACGGCCCUACGGGUUGUAAACCGCUUUUAUACGGGAACAACGCGCCUUACGUGUAGGGGUCUGCAUGUAUCGUAAGAAUAAGGACCGGCUAAUUCCGUGCCAGCAGCCGCGGUAAUACGGAGGGUGCGGGCGUUAUCCGGAUUUAUUGGGUUUAAAGGGAGCGUAGGCGGACGGUAAAGUCAGCGGGAAAAUUGCGGGGCUCAACCCCGUCGUGCCGUGGCAACUGGCGGGCUUGAGUCGGCGGGAAGUAGGCGGAAUUCGUGGUGUAGCGGUGAAAUGCAUAGAUAUGACGAAGAACCCCGAUUGCGAAGGCAGCGUGCUGGAGCGGGACUGACGCUGAUGCUCGAAAGCGCGGGUAUCGAACAGGAUUAGAUACCCUUGUAGUC
rnacentral:rRNA from 1 species